GCCGUCAAUUCCUUUGAGUUUUAAUCUUGCGACCGUACUCCCCAGGCGGUCAACUUCACGCGUUAGCUGCGCUACUAAGGGCCGAAGCCCCCAACAGCUAGUUGACAUCGUUUAGGGCGUGGACUACCAGGGUAUCUAAUCCUGUUUGCUCCCCACGCUUUCGUGCAUGAGCGUCAGUAUCAUCCCAGGGGGCUGCCUUCGCCAUCGGUGUUCCUCCGCAUAUCUACGCAUUUCACUGCUACACGCGGAAUUCCACCCCCCUCUGACAUACUCUAGCUCGGGAGUUAAAAGUGCAGUUCCAAGGUUAAGCCCUGGGAUUUCACACCUCUCUUUCCGAACCGCCUGCGCACGCUUUACGCCCAGUAAUUCCGAACAACGCUCGCACCCUCCGUAUUACCGC
rnacentral:misc_RNA from 1 species